rnacentral:rRNA from 1 species
AUUGAACGCUGGCGGAAUGCUUUACACAUGCAAGUCGAACGGCAGCACGGACUUCGGUCUGGUGGCGAGUGGCGAACGGGUGAGUAAUGUAUCGGAACGUGCCCAGUCGUGGGGGAUAACGUAGUGAAAAUUACGCUAAUACCGCAUACGAUCUAUGGAUGAAAGCGGGGGAUCGCAAGACCUCGCGCGAUUGGAGCGGCCGAUAUCAGAUUAGGUAGUUGGUGGGGUAAAGGCCCACCAAGCCAACGAUCUGUAGCUGGUCUGAGAGGACGACCAACCACACUGGAACUGAGACACGGUCCAGACUCCUACGGGAGGCAGCAGUGGGGAAUUUUGGACAAUGGGCGAAAGCCCGAUCCAGCCAUUCCGCGUGCAGGAUGAAGGCCCUCGGGUUGUAAACUGCUUUUGUACAGAACGAAAAGGUUUCUACUAAUACUAGGAGCUCAUGACGGUACUGUAAGAAUAAGCACCGGCUAACUACGUGCCAGCCGCCGCGGUAA